rnacentral:lncRNA from 1 species
GGAAGUGGUCAGUGGGGUGGUCAGUGGCCACCUUGGCCACUCAGCUGUCAUUACGGCGCAUCCAAACACCACCCAAACCUCCUCAUGGACUGACCACAACCCCUCCGGCCGCUCCGGCCGGGCUCAUUUAUUGACUGGUCACUCGUCCGAGCCGGCCGGACUGCCCAGGAAGAGGCCGGAGUAGCUGAAGGCCGGAGCGGAGCCUUCAUCUUCAUCCUCCUCCUCCUCCUCGUCCUCCUCAUCCUCCUCGUGGUCAUCGUGGUCAUCGUGGUCAUCGUCCUCCUCCUCCUCCUCCUCCUGCCGGACAGCGGCCGAGCGGUCAGCGCCGCCUCCCUCGGGCCUGCGGUCAUCUCCGGCCCGGCGCGGCCUCGAGCCGGACGCCGACCAGCGGUCACCUCUGGAGCCCGACGACCACCGGUCAUCGCUCGGGCCGGGUCUUCCUCCCGCUGACCACGCCGCUGACCACUGGUCAUCCUUCGGCUUUGGUGACCACGGCUCGUCCUUCACCGCCGCUGACCACCGGUCAUCCUUCGGCCCCGCCGACCACGGCUCGUCCUUCACCUUCACUGACCAUUGGUCAUCUUUUGCUGACCAUUGGUCACCUCUUGAGCCAUCUCCUUUUCCUCCAGCUGACCACUGGUCAUCCUUCGAUCUUGUUGACCACUGGUCAUCUUUUGACCCUGCUGACCACUGGUCAUCCUU